GUGCUCGCUUCGGCAGCACAUAUACUAAAACUGGAACGAUACAGAGAAGAUUAGCACGGCCCUGCGCAAGGAUGACACGCAAAUUCGUGAAGCGUUCCACAUUAAA
rnacentral:snRNA from 1 species